rnacentral:rRNA from 1 species
GAUGAACGCUGGCGGCGUGCCUAAUACAUGCAAGUCGAACGAAACUUCUUUAUCACCGAGUGCUUGCACUCACCGAUAAAGAGUUGAGAGGCGAACGGGUGAGUAACACGUGGGCAGCCUGCCCAAAAGAGGGGGAUAACACUUGGAAACAGGUGCUAAUACCGCAUAACCAUAGUUACCGCAUGGUAACUAUGUAAAAGGUGGCUAUACUACCGCUUUUGGAUGGGCCCGCGGCGCAUUAGCUAGUUGGUAGGGUAAAGGCUUACCAAGGCAAUGAUGCGUAGCCGAAUUGAGAGGUUGAUCGGCCACAUUGGGACUGAGACACGGCCCAAACUCCUACGGGAGGCAGCAGUAGGGAAUCUUCCACAAUGGGCGAAAGCCUGAUGGAGCAACGCCGCGUGGGUGAAGAAGGUCUUCGGAUCGUAAAACCCUGUUGUUAGAGAAGAAAGUGCGUGAGAGUAACUGUUCACGUUUCGACGGUAUCUAACCAGAAAGCCACGGCUAACUACGUG